GUACCUGCUGUCAACCCGAUGACAGCUAACCUACAGAUUACAGAGCCUCCAAUAACCAUACAAAACUCUUACAUACAAGUAAAAAUAUUUCACAAUAUACUUCUCUUCAACACUCCAUGCUGUAGUCAGUAACAUAUUUCCAAUAAUUUCACUUCAAAGUGUCAUAUGCUGCUGCAAUGGUUCACAGAGAAUCAUACUGAAAUGCAGUUCAAUGUCCAAAUAGACUUCCCACAUGAAAUAUGAGCAUAUAAGGUCUGCAAAGAAUAUGGAUUUUGUGCUAAAAAGAAAUAACAUGCCUUAUGUUCACACUUAUUACACCUAAGAUGCACAGUUAAAUAGAUUGGAGUCCAUCAAAAAGUUAACUUUACCGAUAUAUAUAACAUACCAUAUCACUGUAGUUUGCUUUCCUUGUCUCUUCAUCCCCUCCAUAACAGACAUGAUAUUUU
rnacentral:lncRNA from 1 species